rnacentral:misc_RNA from 1 species
UAAUAAGUGUUUUACUGCACUUUUUAAAUAAGUACUCACCUUGUGUGCAAUGUUUGCUGUUGCGUCGUUCAUUCGGUCGCUCCAGCACAAUACCAACUUUUUAUUAUAACAAUUUUGUCUGAAGAUAUUUUGAAUAAAUAAUUCUAAAUA